rnacentral:tRNA from 1 species
GAGGGCAUAGCUCAGUGGUAGAGCACAUGCCUAGCACGCUCGAGGUCCUGGGUCCAGUCCCUAGUACUUCCA